rnacentral:lncRNA from 1 species
GCUGCUAAUAAGGUCCCCCCCCCACAAGUUCUUGGGUGCACUUGAACCGGUUAAUAUUGAAUUAACCAUCUCCAUUAGGGUAUGGUUUUUCCAUUCUGCACUACACUAUUUGAUUGUGAGGAGUAAAGAAGAGUGAUCUCAUGAAUGCUCCUAUAUUUUUAAUAAAAUAGGACCAUUUCAUUUGAGGUAUACUUUCCAUCUC